rnacentral:rRNA from 1 species
UACGUAGGGUCCGAGCGUUGUCCGGAAUUACUGGGCGUAAAGAGCUCGUAGGUGGUUUGUCGCGUUGUUCGUGAAAACUCACAGCUCAACUGUGGGCGUGCGGGCGAUACGGGCAGACUAGAGUACUGCAGGGGAGACUGGAAUUCCUGGUGUAGCGGUGGAAUGCGCAGAUAUCAGGAGGAACACCUAUAGCGAAGGCAGCUUGCUGGGACGUUACUGACGCUAAGGCGCGAAAGCGUGGGGAGCGAACAGG